rnacentral:lncRNA from 1 species
AGUACCAAUUUAUUUUUAUGCUCUUUAAAUUUUUAUUAUUUAUUUUAUUAUAAGUAGAUGCUAGGAUCUAGUUAGUAGAUUUUAGUACCUGAUUUAUUUUUUAUACUGUUAAUUUUUAUUUUCUGACUAAAAUUAUUUUCUUCAAAAUUUUAUUUUAUUUUUGCAAAAUCAAAGAUUUCAAAUCAAAAUUUUGCCUUCUCUGUGGAUUCGACCCAACUC